AUGUUGUGCUGGAAAAAAGUCCAAAAAUCUCCUUCCAUGGGAAAUCUUGAAGUUUUUCCUUUUCAUUUUGAAAUGACUUUUUAUUUUGGAAUUUCACUUGGAAUGGAAAUUCUAAGAGUCUGCCAAUUCAAGUCAGCUGUGAUUCAGCUGUUACUCAUCCAUAAAAUUAAUAACUUCAUGUCUUGUUUCUUAAUUCAUAGAAGUUUAGUAUUGGUUUAUCAUUAUUCAAAUAUUAUCCAAAGCACUUUUUUCUUUCAGGAAAGAAAUAAGGAGGAGAGAACCUAUCUGAAAGACCGUGCUGAAAACCAAGAUGCUUGUUUUUCAACAGAGCUGUGAAUCCUGUAACAAAGAUCCACUUCAAUGAGAAAACCUGUGCCGUCAAGCGAUGCCUGGUGUACCCAGUACAACACAUCUGCAAACAGGAAUCCCAUCAGGCUCCAUUUCCUGCAGCCAUCUACCAGGGCUUCAGAUGCAGUUAAAUUCUGUCUUGUAGUGGUAUUGCAAAGGAAUAUUUAAAUAAAGCUGUGAUUGCACACCA
rnacentral:lncRNA from 1 species